rnacentral:rRNA from 1 species
CAGCAGCCGCGGUAAUACGAAGGGUGCAAGCGUUAAUCGGAAUUACUGGGCGUAAAGCGUGCGUAGGCGGUUUGUUAAGUCUGUUGUGAAAUCCCCGGGCUCAACCUGGGAAUGCCAAGUGAUACUGCUGUGCUAGAGUGCGGAAGAGGCAACCGGAGUUCUUGGUGUAGCAGUGAAAUGCGUAGAGAUCGGAAGGAACAUCUGUGGCGAAGGCGACUAUCUGGGCCAACACUGACACUGAGGCACGAAAGCGUGGGGAGCAAACAGGAUUAGAUACCCCCGUAGUCCCUGUCUCUUAUAC